rnacentral:rRNA from 1 species
GGGUCAGUAGGUUGGUCGUGCCACCGGUACGUACUGGUCUCGCUGAUUCCUCCUUCCUGAAGAACCGUAAUGCCAUUAAUUUGGUGUUGCGGGGAAACAGGACUGUUACUUUGAAAAAAUUAGAGUGUUUAAAGCAAGCUAACGCUUGAAUACAUUAGCAUGGAAUAAUGAAAUAGGGCGAUCGAUCCUAUUUUGUUGGUUUCUAGGAUUGACGUA